rnacentral:rRNA from 1 species
GGCGGCGCGCUUAACACAUGCAAGUCGAGCGAGAUCCGGUCCUUCGGGACCGGGGAAAGCGGCGAACGGGUGAGUAACACGUGGGUAAUCAACCCUCGGUACCGGGAUAGCCCGAGGAAACUCGGAUUAAUACCGGAUGGCCCAACAGCUUUUCGGGGCGGUUGGGAAAGGUAGCUUCGGCCUCCGACCGAGGACGAGCCCGCGGCGGAUUAGCUUGUUGGUGGGGUAAUGGCCUACCAAGGCGACGAUCCGUAGCUGGUCUGAGAGGACGAUCAGCCACACUGGGACUGAGACACGGCCCAGACUCCUACGGGAGGCAGCAGUGGGGAAUCUUGCACAAUGGGCGAAAGCCUGAUGCAGCGACGCCGCGUGAGGGAAGAAGGCUUUCGGGUUGUAAACCUCUUUCAGGAGGGACGAAGCUACUCGGGUUAAUAGCCCAGAGGGUGACGGUACCUCCAGAAGAAGCCCCGGCUAACUACGUGCCAGCAGCCGCGGUAAUACGU